GUUUGAUCCUGGCUCAGAAUGAACGUUGGCGGCGUGGAUUAGGCAUGCAAGUCGUGCGGAGGUACCCGCAAGGGUACUCGAGCGGCGAAAGGGAUAGUAACGCGUGGACUACCAACCCUCGGGACUGGGAUAGCCCCGCCACAGCAAUGUGGCUCGGGAAACUGGGGUUAAUACCAGAUAACAUCUUCGGAUCAAAGGUGUGAUUCCGCCUGAGGACGGGUCCGCGUCCUAUUAGCUAGUUGGUGAGGUAACGGCUCACCAAGGCUGCGAUGGGUAGCGGGUGUGAGAGCACGACCCGCAUCACUGGGACUGAGACACUGCCCAGACACCUACGGGUGGCUGCAGUCGAGAAUCUUCGUCAAUUGGGCGAAAGCCUGAACGAGCGACGCCGCGUGCCGGGAUGAGGCCUUCGGGUUGUAAACCGCUGUCAGUGGGGAGGAAAUCUAUAGGGGUUCACCCCUAUAGUUGACCUAUCCGCAGAGGAAGUACGGCUAAGUUCGUGCCAGCAGCCGCGGUAACACGAACCGUACAAACGUUAUUCGGAAUUAUUGGGCUUAAAGGGUGCGUAGGCGGCUCAGUAAGUUGGGUGUGAAAGCCCUCGGCUUAACCGAGGAACUGCGCCCAAAACUACUGGGCUCGAGGGAGACAGAGGUGAGCGGAACUACGGGUGGAGCGGUGAAAUGCGUUGAUAUCCGUAGGAACACCAGGGGCGAAAGCGGCUCACUGGGUCUCUUCUGACGCUGAGGCACGAAAGCUAGGGGAGCGAACGGGAUUAGAUACCCCGGUAGUCCUAGCCGUAAACGAUGAGCACUGGGAUCGAAAGGGUACUCCAUAGCCUUUUGGUCGUAGCGAAAGUGUUAAGUGCUCCGCCUGGGGAUUAUGGUCGCAAGGCUGAAACUCAAAGGAAUUGACGGGGGCUCACACAAGCGGGUGGAGGAUGUGGCUUAAUUCGAGGCUACGCGAAGAACCUUAUCCUAGUCUUGACAUGCAUGGAUUAACUCUCUGAAAGGGGAGCCACGCCCCGCAAGGGUGGAACGUGCACAGGUGCCUGCAUGGCUGUCGUCAGCUCGUGUCGUGAGAAUGUUCGGUUAAGUCCCUUUAACGAAGCCGAAACCCUUGUGCGCCUAGUUUGUCCCACCGAGGUCAUGUCGGGGACUCUAGCGAGACUGCCGGUGUUAAACCGGAGGAAGGUGGGGAUGACGUCAAGUCCUCAUGGCCUUUAUGACUAGGGCCGCACACGUCCUACAAUGGCGUGAACAAAGGGAAGCAAACCUGCGAAGGCAAGCAAAUCCCAAAAAUCACGCCUCAGUUCGGAUUGUAGGCUGCAACUCGCCUACAUGAAGCCGGAAUCGCUAGUAAUCGCGGGUCAGCAUACCGCGGUGAAUGUGUUCCUG
rnacentral:rRNA from 1 species